rnacentral:rRNA from 1 species
GACGAACGCUGGCGGCGUGCUUAACACAUGCAAGUCGAACGGACCUUCUGAUCUUUUGGUUGGUUGGUUAGUGGCGAACGGGUGAGUACACGUGAGUAACCUGCCCUUCUCUUCGGGAUAACUGUCGGAAACGGUGGCUAAUACCGGAUAUUCAUAUGCUGUCGCAUGGUGGUGUGUGGAAAGAUUUUUUGGUGGGGGUUGGACUCGCGGCCUAUCAGCUUGUUGGUGAGGUAGUGGCUUACCAAGGCUUUGACGGGUAGCCGGCCUGAGAGGGCGACCGGCCACACUGGGACUGAGAUACGGCCCAGGCUCCUACGGGAGGCAGCAGUGGGGAAUAUUGCACAAUGGGCGGAAGCCUGAUGCAGCGACGCCGUGUGCGGGAUGACGGCCUUCGGGUUGUAAACCGCUUUCAACUGUGACGAAUUUGACGGUAGCAGUAGAAGAAGCACCGGCUAACUACGUGCCAGCCGCCGCCGUAACAC